rnacentral:rRNA from 1 species
UACGUAGGGGGCAAGCGUUGUCCGGAAUUAUUGGGCGUAAAGCGCGCGCAGGCGGUUAAUUAAGUUGGGUGUUUAAGCCCGGGGCUCAACCCCGGUUCGCAUCCAAAACUGGUUAACUUGAGUGUAGGAGAGGAAAGUGGAAUUCCACGUGUAGCGGUGAAAUGCGUAGAGAUGUGGAGGAACACCAGUGGCGAAGGCGACUUUCUGGCCGUAUAACUGACGCUGAGGCGCGAAAAGCGUGGGGGAGCAAACAGG